rnacentral:lncRNA from 1 species
UCUCGUGAUUCCAUGGCUAGGCAAGGUGGUUCCUCACUGCUCCGCCUUGAGUCAUUCAGGUGGCUGCCUUGUGCUAGAGGUCAGCUGGAAUGUCAAAGAUGGCAGUUGCUGCUUGCUGUCAGUUAGGUCACUCAGGUCACCAUGUGACCUUUACUUCUUCAGUAGGCUAGACUGGCUUUCUUACCUGGAAGUGUCAGGGCAGUAUUCCAAGAUCACAAAGGCAGAAGCUGCAAGACCUCUUAAGGUCUGGACACCUGAACUCACACAUCACUUCUGCUACGUUCUAAGUCACAAGGCCAGCCCAUCUGCAAAGGAGCAGAAAAAUAAACUCCACCUCUGGAAGGGAGAAGCAGCAAAAUCAUAUUGCAAAGAGGCAUGCUUCCUGGGAUGGGAGGAAUUUGAGGUCAUUAACCAUCUACCACACAAGAUGUACAAAGGAAAUGAGGCGGUGAAGGAAAGAGUUCUGCAUGCUGUGUUAUUUUCUGAGAAGACAGAGAUUGUGGAGAAAGGAAUCACAAUUUAGCCAGUGUACUAGCGAACACUGAAGCAGGGCGUCAGGCUGCAGGUCCUUCAGUGGCACCUCCUCCCCCAUGCAUCAAAUUUUCUGUGCCCAUCACGCAGCUGAUGUGUGGACAACAGUCCCCCUGGGCAGUCAAUUGGAAGCCAAAGCUGUGAAUUAUAACCGUAGCCUAAUUAGUGCUCUGCCGUUGGACCUACUGAAUAUCAGAUACCAAGACUAAAGGAACUGGAAAGUGACUAUUUCUCUUUGGAGGAGGCAUAUGUUCCAAAUAUUUAUUGAUGCAAAACAAACCGGCCUGAUCUUAGUGGUGCAAAACAAUAACCAUUUUAUUGCUCACAGAUUGUGUUUCAAGAAUUCAGAUAGGACACAGAAAAGAAGACAUCUUUGAGUCCUCAACUGGGAAAAUUCAAAGAAAGAUGAUUUGAUAGCUGGGGAGUGGAUUCAUCUCAAGGCUGGUCUAUUCACAUGUCUGGUGGUUGAUGUUGACUAUUUCUUGGGACCUUAGCUGGAGCUCUUGGCCAGAACACCUAGAUGAAGCAUCACCAUGUGGUAUCUCCACAUUGCUUAGAUUGGAUUUCCUCCUAGCACGGUGGCAGAGUUUGAAGAAAGAACAUUCUCAAAACAAACAAACAAACAAACAAAAACACCAACGUGGACAUUCAUGGCAUAUUUAUGACCUAACCUUGGAAAUCUUAAAGAUUUCAGUGUACUCUGGUUUCAACAUCCUCUCUUGGUAGAAGUGCUCACAAAUAUUAGCCAAGGUUCAAGGACAGGGGACUUAGACCUCAUCACUAGAUGUCAUGUUGUAAGAAGAGCAUGUGAGAUGAGAUAUAUUGCAGUGUCCCUCUUUGGAAAAUGCAAUCUGUCUCAGCAUACAUUCACAUCAUAGCUCCUGGCAAUGGCAAAUGUAAUAUUGUUGAUCUCUUGAAUCCCUUAGUUUUGCCAAAGGAUGUUUUAAAAAUGUUUCUAAAGCCUUUAUUUAGAAUGAUGAAAGUAAUAGAUAUUCAUUAAGGGAAGGUUGAAAAAUAAGCAAAAGUAAUAAAGUCGAACUACAUGCCAUGAUUUAUUUGACAAUUCUCUAACUUCUAAGGACUUUUUUUCAUUUGUUGCUUAUUUUAGAUAAUGCUACAAUAAACAUUUUUUCAUAAAUUUGACUACAUCUUGAUUUUCAAAAUAUAUAUUUCUAGAAGUGCAAUUAUGUCAACAAUGGAGUUGAUAAUCAUUGUGCAGAAAAGUAGCCUUCAACCAUAGUCAAAGCAUAUUUUCAUUGACUAACAAUUUGUUGGCAGUAAUAUAGGCAUCUUACCUUGGACAUUCAAGACAAACAGUUUUAAUGCUUGUUGUUGUUACAAAUCUCAGAGUUGUCAAAGGACAGUCCUGAGAGUAGGAAUAGAUAAAGGUACCUCUUUACUAUGUAACUAAUCAUUCCUGAAGACACCAGUGACAGCUACAUGGGAAAGACACCAUUGGCCCAAAGGAAUGAUUAAACACUAACUCUGCAGCAUAGCAUCCCUUAACCCAAUUCUGAAUUGACUGUUAACUAAAGAGCUGUUUUUAAAAAUACUAUUUAAAUCUCAUUAUUUGAGCAUUGUGGAAAAU